rnacentral:lncRNA from 1 species
AACAUGGCCGUGGAUCCCGUGCUCCGAGCCGCCCCCUGCAUCCCUCGGUCACAAGUUUUUUUGGUUUUCAUUUUCAACAAGUGGAAGAAAAAUUGAUUUUCAUACUUUAUGUUUGUUUUAAAUAUUUUCUCCUCCCCUGAUUCAGUGCGUGUGUAGAGGGGACAAUUUGGGGGCAUUUCCUCUCAUUUCCCCACUGAUUUUAAAACAAUCCUAAGGGGUUAGGGAGGUUAGAACACCCCCAAAUCCCAAACCAACAGUUUCAGUUUAUUCUCACCCCAGAUCCUCCUGCCAUUAGCCAGUUGCAGUAGGCCAGGAGGGGGCACCACGACAGCCCCCUGCAAAAUGUCCUGAUUGGGGCUCCCUGACCCCAGCCCCUGAGAGAUAAGGGAACCCCCAGAGACCCAGACGGAGAACCAGCCCCCUCCACAGGGGUGAUGCUAAUGUGGCCCUUGCUGUGAUGUCAUUGGGGGGCUGUCCCUGUCUCUGGGGGAAUGUGGGGGGUCAGGGGGCAGUGGGGAGGUGACAGUAGCGAGCAGGGCCCUGGAGGAAUGGGGAAAAGGUGAGUGGGGGGAGAGGGGUUCCCAGUUCAGAGAUGGUUCCAUCCCCAUCCCCCACCCUUUUUCACAUCCCACCACAGAUGGCAGCGAUGAUAGAGAAGGAAAACAGAAAAGCAGUAGAAGCCUCCAGGAGGAAAUAUGAACAAUUUGUGCAGCAGCUGGACCGUGACCACCAGAGCAUGCGCCGCUGCCUGAGUGUGAAGCCUGCGGAAAUGCAGCGACGCCAGGAGGGGAAACGUCAGGAGCUGCUGGAGCGCUGCCAGGGGGAGCUGCGGGGCGAGGAUCCCCAGAAAGAGGCGGCCCUGGAGGAGCUGAAGGAGGAGCUGGACAGGCACAUGGACGAGUUCCUGACGGCCUAUGGGCAGCCCUUUAAAGUGAAAAAGGCCGAGUGGUUGGGCCUGGCCAUGGGUCGGGGGGUGGUUCCUGGCAGUGGUGGGUGCGGGUAUCAGAGUAGGCAUCAGGGCGAGUGUAGUUGUAGUGGGGCUGGAGGAAGCAGUGGCCGUUGGGGUUCUGGCUGGGGGCUUUGGCCUGAUGGGGGGGGAGGGUUGGGCAGCUGGGUGGGCCCCAGUUUGGAUGGUAGGUGGACUCGAGCAAGACAGGCACCAACACCCUAGAUCAGGGGGAUGAGUGGGAGAGCAGGGCAGGAUGUUCAGAUCAGGAGCCCCUUCUGUGGAGGGACACACAGCGGGAAGGAACCAUCACACCUCACUCUGGUAAAGGGUCUGUGCCAGCCCUCAGCACUGGGAACCUCUGUAUGCAAGGGGAUAGAUAGGUAGAUAGAUAGAUAGAUGGGGCGUGUGGGGAUAGAGAGAUAGAUAGAUUGAUAGAUAGAUAGGGUGUAUGGGAAUAGAUAGAUUAGAUAGAUGAGGGGGUGGAUGGGGGUAGAUAGGUAGAUGAGAAGGUUGUGUGGGGAUAGAUAGAUAGAUAGUUAGAUAGAUAUGAGGGGGUGUAGGGGGAUA